rnacentral:rRNA from 1 species
AGCGAACGCUGGCGGCAGGCCUAACACAUGCAAGUCGAACGAACCCUUCGGGGUUAGUGGCGGACGGGUGAGUAACACAUGGGAACGUGCCUUUAGGUUCGGAAUAACUCAGGGAAACUUGUGCUAAUACCGAAUGUGCCCUUCGGGGGAAAGAUUUAUCGCCUUUAGAGCGGCCCGCGUCUGAUUAGCUAGUUGGUGAGGUAAAGGCUCACCAAGGCGACGAUCAGUAGCUGGUCUGAGAGGAUGACCAGCCACAUUGGGACUGAGACACGGCCCAAACUCCUACGGGAGGCAGCAGUGGGGAAUCUUGCGCAAUGGGCGAAAGCCUGACGCAGCCAUGCCGCGUGAAUGAUGAAGGUCUUAGGAUUGUAAAAUUCUUUCACCGGGGACGAUAAUGACGGUACCCGGAGAAGAAGCCCCGGCUAACUUCGUGCCAGCCGCCGCAGUAACAC